rnacentral:rRNA from 1 species
AACGCGGUCCUUCGGGACCGAGUGGCGCACGGGUGAGUAGCGCGUGGGAACCUGCCCUGUUGUGGGGGAUAACCGAGGGAAACCUCGGCUAAUACCGCAUAAGCCGGCCCUCGAGAGAUGGCCGGGAAAGAUUUAUCGCGACAGGAGGGGCCCGCGUCGGAUUAGCUUGUUGGUGGGGUAACGGCCUACCAAGGCGAUGAUCCGUAGCUGGUCUGAGAGGAUGAUCAGCCACACUGGGACUGAGACACGGCCCAGACUCCUACGGGAGGCAGCAGUGGGGAAUAUUGGACAAUGGGCGCAAGCCUGAUCCAGCAAUGCCGCGUGAGUGAGGAAGGCCUUAGGG